GGAGGAGGGGCUUACUAUUACGGAAAAGGUUUAUUUGGUUACAUGCUACAAAGACAUUCAUCAUACGAAGGUUAUUGAAUGUAUGAAAGUUUUACCUAAUCUGUAUGUGUAUGUUAGGUUUAUUUACUUUUGAUUUUGGACAGGGUUUAUUUACCUUGUUCGUUUUACGGAUGUAGUUUAUUUACUUUGGAAGUUGGAUCUAUGAUAUUUUAAGUUUUUAAUAGUUGAAUGAUCUAGCUAAAUGGUCUAACGUAUUGGUAUCAUGCACUAAUGCGCAUAUGCGAAUAUGGGAUCAUGGCAUAUGCGAUUUGACACAAAUGUGAAUCGCAUAUGUUGCAUAUGCGAUGAAAUAAUCGAGGAAUUACAAGUGACUCAGACACCUAAGUCCUCUCAUAGUAGCAAUGCUCAAAACAACAUUUUAUCCCGGCCAUCGGGACCAGAGCAUCCCAAUCAAGUCUGCAUGAUGGGAUUAGCUCCCACAUCUUCCAUAUUAUGGGGUGCGAGAGGCACUGUUGCCUAAUCACAGAGGAAGACUCCAGAGUUACAGCGACAAAUGAACGAGCGGGUGGAGCAACUGGUGGAGCAAACGGUUGAGCGGCUAGUGCAGCAGAUGAAUGAGCGGGUGGAGCAACUGGUGGAGCAAAUGGUUGAGCUGCUAGUGCAGUGGAUGAAUGAGCUAAUGACGAUGUGGAUGAGAGACAUUGUGACCUUAUUGGCAGCGAGCAAUGUCCUCAAUGUGGAGACUAUUCAACAUGAAUCUGCAGCUACAUUUGUACAAGCCGCCUCAGUAUCUAGUCAUGAGGAGACACUCGAGGCUGAGGGACCCCAAUAGAAAGAGGGAGAAUAAUCAAUAGGUGGUUUACAUCUUAUUUUCUUUUCACAAUUGUAUAGUCCGGGAGUAAAUGUCACGGUGGUCACAUGGUCAUGGAGGGACAAGCUUGAAUAAUCCCAUUUCAACAGAUAAGCAUCUACAAAUCAAAGGUUAGGAUGGUUCCAUGCAUUUA